AGUUGGAAAUGAUCUGAUCUCCAUCCGCCGCUCCGCACCGAGGGGCGUUUUUCUUCCACGGACACAUGAACAAUCACUCAGUUGGUCCCCAGACAGGCGCAAGCUGCACAACUUGAUAAAGUGACAGGGAUGGAAACACAACAUGAAGAGCAUCCAUCUUCCUCCAAGUCCCAAGUAGCCACUAGAGCAAGUUUCACAAUUAUAGGAGUACAAAAGUUAUACUGAGCUGCUUCCCAGUAUUGUGGUGGCACCCUGGCGACGUAAGCACAAUGUGCGGACAGCCAGACGCAGUGGGUCAGUGGUUCUCUGGCCCAGAAUGAAGAGUCGUGGGAGGUCCAGAGACCCUGGUUCUGUUUUUGG